UAAGCUGCGACAUGGUUUUGAUGAUAGAGCUAAGCCAAGCUAACAGGCAGCUGCUGCCAAAAGAGUAGUACUGUGCCUCCUUCCUCACCCUUCAUCAUAGGAGUUUUGCUAGAGGCUGGACUGGAAUAUGACUUCUGGAAAAAUACCUGAUUUUUGCCUUAAAGACUCCAAGCAAUGGUGACUCUACCACCUUCUCAGGAUGCUCUCAGAGAAACUUGGAUUUCAGCCCAAUGUCUCUGGGAGUAUGCAUAUCAGAAGAAGAAACUGAAUCUAAGGAAAAAUUAUAACUGUGCUAAACACCAAAACACUGGAACAAGAAUAUACUUGUGGUAUUAAUGACAACUACAGGUUACCUCUACACAGAAGAUGUACUGAAAAGAAAUAAAGAAGAUACGUACAGAUCUUUACAGGAAUCUCUUUGGAUAUAAACAAAGAAGUCCUUCAGAGGACA